AUUGAACGCUGGCGGCAGGCCUAACACAUGCAAGUCGAGCGGAUGAAGGGAGCUUGCUCCUGGAUUCAGCGGCGGACGGGUGAGUAAUGCCUAGGAAUCUGCCUGGUAGUGGGGGAUAACGUCCGGAAACGGGCGCUAAUACCGCAUACGUCCUGCGGGAGAAAGUGGGGGAUCUUCGGACCUCACGCUAUCAGAUGAGCCUAGGUCGGAUUAGCUAGUUGGUGGGGUAAAGGCCUACCAAGGCGACGAUCCGUAACUGGUCUGAGAGGAUGAUCAGUCACACUAGAACUGAGACACGGUCCAGACUCCUACGGGAGGCAGCAGUGGGGAAUAUUGGACAAUGGGCGAAAGCCUGAUCCAGCCAUGCCGCGUGUGUGAAGAAGGUCUUCGGAUUGUAAAGCACUUUAAGUUGGGAGGAAGGGCAGUAAGUUAAUACCUUGCUGUUUUGACGUUACCAACAGAAUAAGCACCGGCUAACUUCGUG
rnacentral:rRNA from 1 species